rnacentral:tRNA from 1 species
UCCCUAGUGGCUCAGCAGGUAAAGCAUCUGCCUGCAAUGCAAGAGACCCAAGUUAAAUCCCUGGGUUGGGAA